UAGUCCACGCCGUAAACGAUGAGAGCUAGACGUCGGGGCACUUGGUGUUUCGGUGGCGCCGCUAACGCAUUAAGCAGACCGCCUGGGGAGUACGGUCGCAAGAUUAAAACUUAAAGGAAUUGACGGGGCCCGCACAAGCAGUGGAGCAUGUGGUUUAAUUCGAAGCAACGCGCAGAACCUUACCAGCCCUUGACAUCCCGUGCCACAUCCAGAGAUGGAUGGUUCCCUUCGGGGACACGGUGACAGGUGCUGCAUGGCUGUCGUCAGCCCGUGUCGUGAGAUGUUGGGUUAAGUCCCGCAACGAGCGCAACCCCUAUCGUUAGUUGCCAGCAUUUAGUUGGGCACUCUAGCGAGACUGCCGGUGAUAAGCCGGAGGAAGGCGGGGAUGAUGUCAAGUCCUCAUGGGCCCUUAUGGGGCUGGGGCUACACACGUGCUACAAUGGUGGUGACAGU
rnacentral:rRNA from 1 species